AAAGUUAUUUUCUUACAUUUGCAAUGGUAAACAAUGAACGUUUUUAAAAAUAAAAGCAUUAAAACGUAGUUUAUAAGGAGGAAUAUAAAAAAACAUUUGUGAAUUUUAGGGCUUUUCCGCUUCGUAAAAACGUAUGAAACGGGAAAUUAAUGAUUUUAUAAGUGUGUGUUCCGGGAAAGUAAACCAUUUGUAAAAGAACUUUCGGCGGGACCAAGAUUAAUUGGCGUAUGACACGGGAAAAUGUAUGAAACUGGAACGUAUCAUUGAGGUUCUACUGUAUUAGGUUCAUUAGCUGAUUGAUUUGAGGUUAUGUUAUAUCUAGUAAAGAUAAACUUAAAAUUCCCGAAAAUUUCGGGAAAUUUAUUUUCCCUCCCGACGGGAUAAAAGCCUCUAUGUUCCCGAAAUUUUUCCCGAAUUUCGGGAUCCCGCACAGGCCUAGAACAAAGCUUUAGGGGAUUUCAGUGUUAAUGGCGGGUACUCCUCUAAAAAGAUAUUCAAAUCUUAUUUCAAUGUUCCGGAAAGAAACUUUAUAAUGAAAGUACCUUGUACUGAACAGUUACAAAAUGUAAAUCAUAUAUGUAGUAGGGAUCUGAAAAUAUAUGCUUUAAAGUGAGGUGCUUUGUAAGGCGGUUUCACUUGAAAUGUCUGGAUGAUUAUUCUCAUAAAAACCUCGCAGCACACCACAGAAUAAUAGUGCACCAAAUAAUAGUGAUUGAAAAACCCUGUACUAAGCAUUAACAGACUAACAUACAAGCCUUUAUAAAAACAAACACACUAGUUAAUUUAGCUAAGUAACGGUUCUUUUCACACCAAACGUCUUUGCAGGCCAAAAUUCAUGAUGUAAGGUGUGUUAUCACCACAGGAAAAUUUGAGGCAAUCUUCAAUGAAUUAAUAUUAGAAUCUGUACACAGGCGAGACUGCCAAAAAGGACGACUUUUAUGAAAACUGAAAAUUAUUCCGUGGAAAAUAUAUUGUCGCGGGUUGAAAUUUUGCAGGGUUGUUGAAAUCAAAUUUAGGGACUUUACUGACAGGACUCUGGGCUGGCUGCUCUGUUCACUCGUCAGCGCAAGUGGCGUGACCAUGUAAUUGGGGCACGGGGCCGGCGCGGCGCGCUGCGGGCUUGCAGAAUUUUGUUUGUUUGUUUGGCCGCGCGCUGGCGCAGCCACGGGCCGCAGUUACUGGGGCGCGCUGUCGUAACAAGCCGCGCGGUGUGGCCUGCACAUUGGGGUAGAGGGGGGGUAGUCUUCCCAGAUGUUCUAGUUAGUUGUUUAGUAAAUUUGACUUCAAUAACGAGCUUUUGUUAUGGUAGGCGCGGCAGGGCGCGCGAAUUUAAGCGCAAGUGAGUGGUGACUCGGGGCUCACUCAGGCGGAGGCUAUGCGUCUCACCUGUGGUCACGAGUUGUUAGUUCGUUCGUGAUGUAGGAAUUCAGGCUCACUCAGGCGGAGGCUAUGCGUCUCACCUGUGGUCACGAGUUGUUAGUUCGUUCGUGAUGUAGGAAUUCAAGCUUUCGGGCGGCAGCUAUGGUCGACGCCAGAGGCCACGAGUCGUUUAAUUUAAGUUAGGUCAUAAUGUAGUCGUCAAGCUUUCGGGCGGAGGCUAUGGCCCUCGUCAGGGGUCACGCGUCAUAGUUUUUAAAAUGUAAUGUUCGUUCGGGAUUUCAAGGGCAGGAGAGGCCCCGACGUUAUUUUUUUAAAGUAAUCGAUCAAGAAAGGCUUUUCGGAAAAUGUGAGUAUGGACUUAUCUUUGUUUUAAUUUUAAGUAUUAAUUAUGAUUUGAGGUAUUCGGAAGGACUAGGGAAGUGUUUAGUGAAGUUCUCUCAUUCUCUCUCUUGUAAGGUCGUUCAAUCGUUAAGGAAGUAAAGAGAUUAUUGUUUUAAAUUGUAAUCCCGCUAUUUAAAUGUUCUUUAAAAUGAUGUUGAGUAUUUGACUUUAAGAAUAAAAUAAUUUUAAUUAAGUAUUAUGUUAUUUUGCAAAAUCUCCUUAGUUCAGCUCUCACCAGACAUCCUGUACGGGAUGACGAACCUAUGAUCCUAGGUACAGUAAAGUAUUUUAUGAAGUUAAGACUAGUUGAUGCCAAGCGAGUUGUUUCUAUGUAAAGAGUUACGAUUCUCUCCCCCCUCUGAAGAUGGCACGUGACAGAAAUGGUAGAGUUCGCCGGAUAGGUUCUAUUUCUGGAGAGAGAGAGAGGUAGAUUUUUAUGUUUAUUAUUAAGUUAGUUUCAGCUUCUGAUAGCAGGUUAUUAAGAGUUUACUUGAGGAGAGGAUUACGGAAUUUUAGUCUAUAGUGGAGGAAGUCUUUGAGAUUUUUUUUUGACGUAACAGAUGUUUAUUUGAGGAUACUUGUAAGGAUAAAGUUUAUAGUGAUAAGUUGUUUUAAGUCGUUGAAUUUAUUGUAGAUUUAUAUCGGGGAUUAUUACGUGAGGAGAAUACGUUAUAAGUUAAAUGCUUAUUAGAGAUAAUGCAAGUGGUUUAAUUUAAUUGGAGUUCAUUUUAAGAUUGUAGGUUAAGAGAAUUAUAAUUUAAAAUAAAGUUUUUUGUCGUAAAUAGGAAUUAUUUUCAAGUGAAGUUUGUUUUGUUUUCGUGCGCGUAGGAGACGAGACGUACGAAUUAAAUCAGUCGAGGGAAGGAUAAACGUUAGAAAGGAAUUAAAGAGAAAACGAGAGUUUAUGUAAAAGAGAGUUAUAGAAUUUAUAGUGAUGUUUUGUUUUAAUUAGAAAAAUGUUGAGAGUUGUUUCAGAACGACACGUCAGUGGACGUGGCAGAGUGAACACGUGACGGGGAGGUGCUGAGACCUAGCGGAGAACGGAGGAACCGCAAGCGAGGGUUGGCGCACCUGAUGGAAUUCGGUGACGUCACGGGCUCAUACGGAGACGUGGACAGGCCGUGACCUUGUUUUGAUCAGCUGUACGGUAACUUAGCGAUAAGAAAAUAGACUAUUGGUUAAAUAAAUUUAAAUUUAAGUGUGUUUUAGGAGAAGAGGAACUUUCAGUAUAUUCCUUAAGAUGAGCUGAGCAGCAGUCCAGUUUACAAGAUGACAAGAGUUCGAGAGACAAGAUACAAGAUCACUGAAACAAGAGCCAAGACUGAAGAUUCAAGAGAAGAGAAAGCUGGCAGCCAUGGACUUACAAGUGGAGAUUAAUAAGGUCAUGUAAAGUUUUAUUUUUUUAUGGAAGACAGUAACUGGAGUUUUUUUUGUUAUAAACAUUAUUUACAGAACUUUUUAGGUUAUAGUAAUGUAAUGGAACUAGUGAGUUGUGGUAGCUGUCAAAAAGAACUAAUACCUUAAGUUUAAUUUUUAAAGUUAAUUUUCUUAAUUUACAGAGGGAUUAGUAGUUUUUUUUUUAAAACCUUAUUUAGGUUGGAAUUUAAAUACAAUAGCUUAUUAUAAAUGUGUACGAACAGUUCAAGUUCACAGUACUGAUAGGUAGGUCAGAUGAUCUUAUUGAUUUUGAUGAUUUGUUGUUUUGAGUUGAUUUUUAAGUGUUGUGAAUUAGACAAUGAAAUAGUUCUGAAAACUUAAAUUAUUUCAAGCUAAGAAAUAGUAAAUUUAAUUGUAACUCAAAGGACACCAGAAUUUAAUUUUUUUUUGAAUUAGUAAUGUUUGAAAAUUUUAUACUUUACAAGAAAGGUUAUAAACAAACAGAUCGGAUGGAACAAGGAUGCAGUAAAUCACAAUUUCAUUUAGAAUUAUUGAUUAGCUUUUGAGGUUAUGAAGUAAAAGUAAUUAUAGUUUAAAAGUUUGAAUAAAAAAAAAUGUUUUUUUUUAUUUGUUUGAAAUAGAAAGUUUAAAAGUUAAUUAGUCAUGAUCUAGGUGGGUGAUGGGGUGGGAAUUGGCCACUCUUUUUCCCUAUAACCUCCCUAACAUGGCCUUCUAUUACAACUAACAGAAAUAAAGAAGAAGAAAAAUGAAGAAUUAUUAGUUAGAAUGUUUCUUUCAUGAAGAUACCUGAUGAACUUUUACUGUUUGGAAGAAUAGAAGCAAGGUUAGUCAGAUAUUUUUACUCAGAAGAAGAAGAAGAUAAAGCAGUUUUAUGACUCGACAAGCCAGAGAUUGGUGUUUCCCCUCUGCGCUUCUAUUGACUACGUUGUUUACUCUCAUGGGAUAGCUGGUUCGGCACCAUGGAGAGAGAUUGGUGGGCAUUGUGGUUGCCCCCAGAAGAAAAGAAGAGUAGAAGAGGUUAUGGGUGGGUCAUGUGAACUGACCUUCAACCCAGUUACUUCGUGGGGACUAUUUGCUGUAUAGAGAAGAUCAAGACUCAAGAGUUAGGGAAAAUCAUUGGAGGUCAUGUUUCCCUUCCUUAAGUUUUUCCUAUCAAAUUAUUUGCCUGAUUAGAUUAUGCUAAGGGUGGGAUACUUUAUGUUAGCAGUUGAAUUAAUUAAUUUUAUUUUUUUGUGUGUUUGCAUCCUUGCCCAUCGAUUGCAGUUUAGUAGUUAGUUUUGUAUUUGUCAGGCGUGAUGGUAAUGCCUGUUGAUGAUGUUUCAGAAUUGUAAUCUGUUCGUGAUGAGGAUGGCACAACUCCGAAGCAGAUGUGGGGAGAAGUUGUGAGCUGCCCUGGAAGCCAGUCCAGUAGCUGUUGGAGUUGAGUGGUGUUUGCUGAUGGCCAGCCCAGGGAGCUACUCUUCUCGACAACACUGACUUCGAGGAGUUGCACCAACCUUCACGAGAUAAGAGUUUAAUUAAUUGAAACACUGUAAGGACACUUAAUUUUUUUUGAAGAACGAAAGAAGUAUGGUAAUAAACGGAAACCGAAAAAAAAAAAAUAAUAAUAAUUAUCAAGAAUUUGCACAUUGUUUAACGAAUACUGAGAAACUAAGAACAGUAAUUUAAUUUGUAAAGAGAGCUUCACUAACAGAACAAUUUUUUUAGAAUUGAGAACUCGAGCCUCUGAAGGUUCCUGUGAGAACAAACCAGAUAAAAGUUUUACAUUUAAUUUUAUGAAUACUUGUUGUUUUAAAAUAAAUCUUAUGCAGAAUCUAGAUGUAUGUUCAGACAGCAAGGAACUAAGAAAAUUAUUAUUUUUGUGAAAUGAGGAAUUUAUAGUUAUGGUUUAAUGGAAAAAGACAAUUUGUAAUUUUGAGGUAGCUCGAUGGGGCUCGAGCUCUGUGAGGGGAGGGUUAUGUCGCGGGUUGAAAUUUUGCAGGGUUGUUGAAAUCAAAUUUAGGGACUUUACUGACGGGACUCUGGGCUGGCUGCUCUGUUCACUCGUCAGCGCAAGUGGCGUGACCAUGUAAUUGGGGCACGGGGCCGGCGCGGCGCGCUGCGGGCUUGCAGAAUUUUGUUUGUUUGUUUGGCCGCGCGCUGGCGCAGCCACGGGCCGCAGUUACUGGGGCGCGCUGUCGUAACAAGCCGCGCGGUGUGGCCUGCACAUUGGGGUAGAGGGGGGGUAGUCUUCCCAGAUGUUCUAGUUAGUUGUUUAGUAAAUUUGACUUCAAUAACGAGCUUUUGUUAUGGUAGGCGCGGCAGGGCGCGCGAAUUUAAGCGCAAGUGAGUGGUGACUCGGGGCUCACUCAGGCGGAGGCUAUGCGUCUCACCUGUGGUCACGAGUUGUUAGUUCGUUCGUGAUGUAGGAAUUCAGGCUCACUCAGGCGGAGGCUAUGCGUCUCACCUGUGGUCACGAGUUGUUAGUUCGUUCGUGAUGUAGGAAUUCAAGCUUUCGGGCGGCAGCUAUGGUCGACGCCAGAGGCCACGAGUCGUUUAAUUUAAGUUAGGUCAUAAUGUAGUCGUCAAGCUUUCGGGCGGAGGCUAUGGCCCUCGUCAGGGGUCACGCGUCAUAGUUUUUAAAAUGUAAUGUUCGUUCGGGAUUUCAAGGGCAGGAGAGGCCCCUACGUUAUUUUUUUAAAGUAAUCGAUCAAGAAAGGCUUUUCGGAAAAUGUGAGUAUGGACUUAUCUUUGUUUUAAUUUUAAGUAUUAAUUAUGAUUUGAGGUAUUCGGAAGGACUAGGGAAGUGUUUAGUGAAGUUCUCUCAUUCUCUCUCUUGUAAGGUCGUUCAAUCGUUAAGGAAGUAAAGAGAUUAUUGUUUUAAAUUGUAAUCCCGCUAUUUAAAUGUUCUUUAAAAUGAUGUUGAGUAUUUGACUUUAAGAAUAAAAUAAUUUUAAUUAAGUAUUAUGUUAUUUUGCAAAAUCUCCUUAGUUCAGCUCUCACCAGACAUCCUGUACGGGAUGACGAACCUAUGAUCCUAGGUACAGUAAAGUAUUUUAUGAAGUUAAGACUAGUUGAUGCCAAGCGAGUUGUUUCUAUGUAAAGAGCUACGAUUCUCGCCCCCCCCUCUGAAGGUGCACGUGACAAUAUUAACAAUCCAGGUUUGAACAUCUAGUCAACAUAAAGAUCAAUAGGGACCUAUGCAUCAAAACUAAAUUUAGAUAUUAUGAAGAAAAUGUGCAGUAGUUUUAAACACUGCAGGCUUUUCAGUACAGUGCUCUAUGUAAAAAAAAGUUGUUACAAUAUAAAAAGGAUGUUACAUAUCAAUAGCUAAACAAACUUAAGAUAUAAGCUUGACACAUAUGUAUAUCACUUUGAAACUAUCUAUCUCUGUAAGCACUGAAUAAAACAUUAAACUAUGAACUAUGUAGACUCAGGGUACGAAAAAGAUUGAUAGAAUGGGAGCUACACCUCUAAAGUAAUUUAUCUGCAACAGAUUUAACAAUUUUAAAAUUUGGCUAUUUGUUUAGUAGCCUGAACAUGAAAGCUGAACACACUAUGGUUGUAUUAGAUUGAUUUAGUCACUGAAGAGGAAUACACACGGACAUUCUUAAAUCUUUCAGUCCCAUGAUAAAAAUGUACAUGGUAAGAAUACAAUAACUGACAUGCCAUUUACUUUUUUAAGAGUUCCGAAUACAGCUGAUGCGUUUCCAAAUAUUGGAGGUAAUUUUGUUUGAAUAUUUCAACCCUAUUCCGAAAUUCUCUUGCGGUAUCUUCCAAGUUUGCCAACACUGCAGCCCAACCUGUAACAAAAUUUACAAAACAAAAA